AGGAUGAACGCUGGCGGCGUGCUUAACACAUGCAAGUCGAACGAUGAAGCCGGAGCUUGCUCUGGUGGAUUAGUGGCGAACGGGUGAGUAACACGUGAGUAACCUGCCCUUGACUCUGGGAUAAGCGUUGGAAACGACGUCUAAUACCGGAUACGACGCGCGAAGGCAUCUUCUGCGCGUGGAAAGAUUUCGGCAAGGAUGGACUCGCGGCCUAUCAGCUAGUGUGAGGUAACGCCACCAAGGCGACGACGGGUAACCGGCCUGAGAGGGUGACCGGCCACACUGGGACUGAGACACGGCCCAGACUCCGUACGGGAGCGAGCAGUGGGGAAUAAUUGACACAAUGGGACGCGAAGCCGUGAUGCAGCAACGCCGGCGGGAGGGACGACGGCCCGUUACGGGUU
rnacentral:rRNA from 1 species